ACGCCGCGUGAACGAUGAAGUAUUUCGGUACGUAAAGUUCUUUUAUUAGGGAAGAAUAAAUGAUGGAAAAAUCAUUCUGACGGUACCUAAUGAAUAAGCCCCGGCUAACUAUGUGCCAGCAGCCGCGGUAAUACAUAGGGGGCAAGCGUUAUCCGGAAUUAUUGGGCGUAAAGGGUGCGUAGGCGGUUAAAUAAGUUUAUGGUCUAAGUGCAAUGCUCAACAUUGUGAUGCUAUAAAAACUGUUUAGCUAGAGUAAGAUAGAGGCAAGUGGAAUUCCAUGUGUAGUGGUAAAAUGCGUAAAUAUAUGGAGGAACACCAGUAGCGAAGGCGGCUUGCUGGGUCUUUACUGACGCUGAGGCACGAAAGCGUGGGGAGCAAACAGGAUUAGAUACCCUGGUAGUCCACGCCGUAAACGAUGAGUACUAAACGUUGGGUAAAACCAGUGUUGAAGUUAACACAUUAAGUACUCCGCCUGAGUAGUACGUACGCAAGUAUGAAACUUAAAGGAAUUGACGGGACUCCGCACAAGCGGUGGAUCAUGUUGUUUAAUUCGAAGGUACCCGAAAAACCUCACCAGGUCUUGACAUGCUUCUGCAAAGCUGUAGAAACACAGUGGAGGUUAUCAGUUGCACAGGUGGUGCAUGGUUGUCGUCAGCUCGUGUCGUGAGAUGUUGGGUUAAGUCCCGCAACGAGCGCAACCCUUAUUGUUAGUUACCAGCACGUAAUGGUGGGGACUUUAGCAAGACUGCCAGUGAUAAAUUGGAGGAAGGUGGGGACGACGUCAAAUCAUCAUGCCCCUUAUGACCUGGGCUACAAACGUGAUACAAUGGCUGUUACAAAGGGUAGCUGAAGCGCAAGUUUUUGGCAAAUCUCAAAAAAACAGUCUCAGUUCGGAUUGAAGUCUGCAACUCGACUUCAUGAAGUUGGAAUCGCUAGUAAUCGCGAAUCAGCAUGUCGCGGUGAAUACGUUCUCGGGGUUUGUACACACCGCCCGUCAAACCACGAAAGUUGGCAAUACCCAAAGCCGGUGGCCUAACUUCGCAAGAAGAGGGAACCGUCUAAGGUAGGGUCGAUGAUUGGGGUUAAGUCGUAACAAGGUAUCCCUACCGGAAGGUGGGGAUGGAUCACCUCCUUUCUAAGGAAACAAUUAUCAUCUUCAGUUUUGAGAGACUUAAGAAAGUUUUUCAUUGUCACUUGCUUGCAAAUUGUAUUUGCAACAUUUUAAUCUUUUUAAGAUUAAGGGCCUAUAGCUCAGUUGGUUAGAGCACACGCCUGAUAAGCGUGAGGUCGGUGGU
rnacentral:sRNA from 1 species